rnacentral:lncRNA from 1 species
GCUCCAGGUUUAUGAUAUGUAACUCAGCAGAAGCCUAGAAUGAGAAGAACUCAUCUGAAGCUCCAACAUUUGGGGAAUGCAGCCUUUCGACAGACAUUUGCUGAAUGGAUAGGAGACUCCUGAAAGCAGAAUUCUGCACAUUCUGUGGACCAGCCCUGACUAUUGAGAGCAGGUCUUAGGCCAGUCUCCAUGCACAGUGCCUUUUAGUCUUACCUGUCUGCUACCUUACGCAAGCAUGGAGCUUAAUAUGCUGGCUAUGUUCUCCUAACCUCAGAUAUCUGUAAAACCAGCCACAGUAAGAUAACAUGGUAGAGCACAAAAUGCUUAGAAGAGAUUUGAAGCAAUGCUUCCCAGAAGAUAGGCAACCUCAACAGGUAUAUCACAAUGAGUGACCCACACCCCCUAUAACAGCCAAUUUUGAUGGUCCUCCUAUAGCUCUUGCCUUGUUCUUUGUAAUAGGAUUCAGAUUGUUUAAAAUCCCCAUAUUCUACCACAAA